GAUGAACGCUGGCGGCGUGCUUAACACAUGCAAGUCGAACGGGACUUAUACCAGCGGCGUUUUCGGACAAAGCAGAUAUAAGUUUAGUGGCGGACGGGUGAGUAACGCGUGGAUAACCUGCCUCACACUGGGGGACAACAGCUGGAAACGGCUGCUAAUACCGCAUAAGCGCACAGCACCGCAUGGUGCCGUGUGAAAAACUCCGGUGGUGUGAGAUGGAUCCGCGUCUGAUUAGGCAGUUGGCGGGGCAACGGCCCACCAAACCGACGAUCAGUAGCCGGCCUGAGAGGGUGAACGGCCACAUUGGGACUGAGACACGGCCCAAACUCCUACGGGAGGCAGCAGUGGGGAAUAUUGCACAAUGGGGGAAACCCUGAUGCAGCGACGCCGCGUGGGUGAAGAAGUAUUUCGGUAUGUAAAGCCCUAUCAGCAGGGAAGAAGAUGACGGUACCUGCAUAAGAAGCCCCGGUUAACUACGUGCCAGCAGCCGCGGUAAUACGUAGGGGGCAAGCGUUAUCCGGAUUUACUGGGUGUAAAGGGAGCGCAGACGGAACGGCAAGUCAGAUGUGAAAGGCAUGGGCUCAACCCGUGGACUGCAUUUGAAACUGUCGAUCUUGAGUGUCGGAGGGGCAAGCGGAAUUCCUAGUGUAGCGGUGAAAUGCGUAGAUAUUAGGAGGAACACCGGUGGCGAAGGCGGCUUGCUGGACGACAACUGACGUUGAGGCUCGAAAGCGUGGGGAGCAAACAGGAUUAGAUACCCUGGUAGUCCACGCAGUAAACGAUGAAUACUAGGUGCUGGGGAGAGACCUCGGUGCCGCCGCUAACGCAUUAAGU
rnacentral:rRNA from 1 species